CGCGUAGGCGGUUUGUUUAGUUAGGCGUGAAAUUCCUGGGCUCAACCUGGGGGCUGCGCUUAAUACAGGCAGACUAGAGUGUGAAAGAGGGUCGUGGAAUUUCCAGUGUAGAGGUGAAAUUCGUAGAUAUUGGAAAGAACACCGGUGGCGAAGGCGGCGACCUGGUUCAUUACUGACGCUGAGGCGCGAAAGCGUGGGGAGCAAACAGGAUUAGAUACCCUGGUAGUCCACGCCGUAAACGAUGUGUGCUGGAUGUUAGGCAACCUAGUUGCUUAGUGUCGUAGCUAACGCGGUAAGCACACCGCCUGGGGAGUACGGCCGCAAGGUUGAA
rnacentral:rRNA from 1 species